AAUAGAUACCCGGGUAGUCCACGCCCUAAACGAUGCGAACUGGAUGUUGGGUGCACUUUGGCACGCAGUAUCGAAGCUAACGCGUUAAGUUCGCCGCCUGGGGAGUACGGUCGCAAGACUGAAACUCAAAGGAAUUGACGGGGGCCCGCACAAGCGGUGGAGUAUGUGGUUUAAUUCGAUGCAACGCGAAGAACCUUACCUGGCCUUGACAUGCACGGAACUUUCCAGAGAUGGAUUGGUGCCUUCGGGAACCGUGACACAGGUGCUGCAUGGCUGUCGUCAGCUCGUGUCGUGAGAUGUUGGGUUAAGUCCCGCAACGAGCGCAACCCUUGUCCUUAGUUGCCAGCACGUAAUGGUGGGAACUCUAAGGAGACCGCCGGUGACAAACCGGAGGAAGGUGGAGAUGACGUCAAGUCAUCAUGGCCCUUAGGCCAGGGCUACACACGUACUACGAAUGGUAGGGACAGAGGGCUGCAAGCCGGCGACGGUGAGCCAAUCCCAGGAAACCCUAUCUCAGUCCGGA
rnacentral:rRNA from 1 species